ACCAGACCCGCCUUCUGCUAGUGACGCUUUCAUUUCAGUACAGGAAAUAGAGAGGUUUGUUUUGUUCAUGUGUGGAGAGGUGGUUGCAGUCAGUGAUGAUUUUACAACACGCUGUCUCCUUCUGUUUAAAGUAUUUAGGCAGGGAUGAAAUGUUUUCUAAUAAUUAGUGAUUUUUGUGUUUGUUUAUUACCUGCACGGAGUUCCGUGAAAAGGAAAGCACCCCUUUUCUGUGUUGAAUUUCACACACAGAGCGGAGCGCGUCAGUCGCAGCUACAGACAAGUCGAGCUUUUCAAUGAGAUGAUUUACUGAGAAACAAACGCGUUGAAGCUCCAGCAGAGCUCUGCGCGAUUCUGAAAGACCAAAGUAAAGUUACUCCUUGCAAAGCAUGUUGUUUGUGUUCUUUCUUUAUCACACCAGAAGAAGUCAUGAAUAUAUUUGAAUGGGAAGGCUACAGUACAAAAUAAAUAUUAAUAAAUAAAAACCGCGGUGUUUCUGAUUGAAAAGAGGAUUCCGCUAGACCAGUGUGAAACUCAAACCAGUGAAAAUGGACGCGUCAGCGUGUCCGUGUCGCUCUUUCAAGACGAGCUCGCCUCUACCAUCGAGCACGCAGUGAAAGCGGCUCUACACACCGUCUUGUGCGCGAUUACUAAAGCUGUCGGCAGCAAAUUCACUGAAUUCAGAGUGGAAAUGGAACAAAAAGGAGAAAGAGAAUGAAAGUCUGAAGCUGAGAUUGGAAAUAUCAGAGAACGAGCUGAAAGCUGUGCGAGGGUGUAUAAACGCUGCAGAUGCAGACACUAAACAACCUUUAAUAUUUCAAGAUCCCAAAGAGAGCCACGCUAUCCCUGAAUCUGAAGCACAGGAAGGGCCAAAGAUAGAAGCAGGAGUGCUGUGCAAGUCUAAUGCAGGUUACAGAGCUGGCAUGUGUUAAAGAUGAAGAGGUCCCUCAACAGGAAUGUGUUCCUAUUAAAGAGGAGUUCAUAGAGCAGGAAUGUGUCCCCAUCGCAGAGGAACUUCCUCAUGAAAAUCAUGUCUGUACACUUGAGGAGAACAACAAGCUGGGAUCCAACCUGUGUGAUGACUCUCCAUCUGAAUGUGAACUGGGAUUUAGAGGUAAUCCUACAAAACAAGCAGCAUUGAGCUGCCUGUUCAUCCUGCAGAAACUGGUACAGAACACCAGCAGUGUGCUUGAGAUUCAUAUUUUAACCAAGGGGAGCUGCCCAACCACUAUGUCAACAAGGACAUCGCUGUGCUUGCUUCUGAGGCACCUGCUAGAUGUGCAGCCGCUGCCACGCCUCUUUAAAAUGCUGUGAGAUCAGCGUUGUCCAAUCACGCUCCUGGAGGCCAUUCCACUCCACAUUGAACAGGUUCAGUUAUAUAAAGUGAUACUCCUGUGUCUGGAUGGACACCCCUGUGUUAGAUCUUUGCCUUUCCUCAUUCCUGGUAGGCUGUUUGCAGUUCUGCUCCCACAGCUUUACAGAGCUACAGGGAUCACAUGUCUCAUCACUGGGUGAUGCCAAAUCCAGUCGGGUUGCUCAGCGUCACCAGAAGAAACAUUUCAGUAGAGAAUUUCUGUGGAGAAUGUAUGCAGCAGGAUCACAAACAUGAGUCUUAUUUUAUUUCUUACACUUUAUGCAAAUACAAUAUCAUUUUUAAACGCUCAUCUCACUGCAACUAUCCCGAGGACUGUAAUGUUUGCUCGCAACGCCACAUUUCACUUCUGUGUGUCUCACAGUAAGCAUUGCUGUGUUAUUAUUGUCACAGUACAGUAAGAAUGUGUGUGGAGGUGUUCUGUACAGCAGACCAGCUCAACAGAUAAUUUCUAUAUUAAUUAUUAAUUAUCAAAAAACAAAUUAAAUAUUAGAUACAUUGCAGUACUAUCAAAAUGCAGGUACUAAAUAGGAUUUUUCAUGAUGCUCUGUUGGCUCGAUUUAAAAUAUUCCAUUUUAAACAUUGUUUUUCAUUUUCCACUUGGCUGACAUGUUGACAUCAUUUUUGCUGUGACUAAAACUUGCGGGACACUAACUGGUAAAUGAAUCUGCCUCAUCUCAAGCAACCAAUCACUGAACUGCUCAUUCACUUGUGUUCAGAACAGUGCAUGUGGAAGAAUGCUGUACAAUAACCUUUGUCUCUCUUCUCUUUCUUUCUUUAGCUUCUAAAGUAGAUGAAGGAGAACACGACUCCACUCUAUCACCCCAGUGCAAAAACGCUUCUAAAGGCAAACCACAGUGCAAGAAGCACAGAGAAACGACACCCCAAGAAGAAAAUGUGAAGACAUUGAGAACUCACUCAGUUACAAUCCCUUCCUUACAAGACAGACACCCACUUACUGUGCAGAGUACAGAGACGCCACAUUCUGUAUGUUUUAACAAUUCUGAAACCCAGGGCAACUUGAAGACCUUGCCUCAUUCUAUUAAAGGUGGGAAGAGUUCCUGUCAAUUAGAUGUUCCUAAAACUCACAAGGGAAAUCCCACAGGAGGGACUCCGUGUUCCUGAGCUGAUUGUGGGAAGAGUUUCAAUCAUAUAUCACUGCUUAAAAGGCACCAGCGCAUUCACACAGGAGAGAAACGUUAUCACUGUGCUGUUUGUGGGAAGAGAUUCAGUCAGUUAGGAAACCGCACAAGACACCAUAACAUUCACACAUAUGUGUAAUCCUAUCCCUGCACUUAGUGUGAAGACGUUAAGUCAGUUGCAGGCUCUUACAGGACUUGAGAACAUUCUCAGAAAUGCAGACACUUGGGGACACCUAAACAACAGGAGUGCAUUCGACUAAAUACAGAAAUAUUAACUGAAAACAAAAGAAUAAACUUGCUUGAUAAAUAGGGUCACCCCUAAUCACAAUCUGUUCAGAUCAAAAACUCACCAAAAUCUGUGUUCAUCAUGUUGUUGAGCAUUCUGAUUGUGUUACAUCACAUUAGUAAUAUAUUAAAUAGAUUGUUAUUAUGA